UACGAAGGGUGCAAGCGUUAAUCGGAAUUACUGGGCGUAAAGCGUGCGCAGGCGGCUUGCCAAGUCAGAUGUGAAAGCCCCGGGCUUAACCCGGGAACGGCGUUUGAAACUGGCAGGCUAGAGUUUGGCAGAGGGGGGUGGAAUUCCACGUGUAGCAGUGAAAUGCGUAGAGAUGUGGAGGAACACCGAUGGCGAAGGCAGCCCCCUGGGCCAAAACUGACGCUCAGGCACGAAAGCGUGGGGAGCAAACAGG
rnacentral:rRNA from 1 species